AUGCUGUAGUCGGGUAGGUUUAAGAGGAUCUUAUCUGACUUCGGAUCAGAAGGUUGGGGGUUCGAGUUCCUCCCGGUGUACCA
rnacentral:tRNA from 1 species